GGACAUACUCUACGCAUUAUGUCACGUUAUUUUCAUUGGACUCUACUUGGCAAACCUUAAAAAUGUUGUUUUUGAAGUAGAUUAAAAACUGAUCGGUGGUUUUAUUCCUUAUUUUUUUAAAUAAAAGUCAUAAGUAUGUGGUUUUUGCAGUUUUCAGUCUUGGACUGGGCGAUACGGCUAUGUCGAUAAUUGUUGAUUAGUUUUUGUUUUAAAUAUCUGAAAUGCUGCCGAACUUGUGAUGUGACCUUUCCUGUUUUAAUCCAGUCUCAUUUGAGUUGAUGUACUUAUUUUUCCUUUUUGCGCAAAUCUUUUUUAUUUUUAAGCAGUUACAUAAAACUGCUGCUGCAAGUUACUCAACAGGCUGUUGUUAGGUAACCAAAGCAUGAGUGAGUUGAGCAGCUACAGUCUUUCCUCUGCCUACAUCCCCCAGAAUGCUGUGUGGUUCUGGAUCGGAGUUGGUUGAAAUGAUCGAAUAUUCUAUCAGACGUAUUUUGUAUUGAUAUUGAUUAUGUGUCUAUCACAAUAUUGGAGACAUACCCUAAAAUUUUUACUUAUAAACAAACUAAAAACCUUGUAUCGUU